UGAGUUUGAUUCUGGCUCAGGAUGAACGCUAGUAGUAUGCUUAACACAUGCAAGUCUAACGGAAAUUUUUUUCGUGGCGUACGGGUGAGUAAAUGCAGAAUUUUCCCUUUUAGUUCAGAACAAAUAUUCCUUCGGGUAAUAAAAUACUGAAUACGUUUAAAGGUUUUUUCCGCUAAAAGAUAAAUCUGCUUAAGAUUAGGUUGUUGGUAAUUUAAAAGCUUACCAAGCCUAUAAUCUUUAGUUGGUCUGAGAGGAUGACCAACCACACUGGAACUGAAAUAAGGUCCAGGCUAAUACGUUGGCCAGCAGUGAGGAAUAUUGGACAAUGAACGAAAGUUUGAUCCAGCAAUACUAAUUGGGUGAUGACGGCUUAUUUAAGUUGUAAGAUCCUUUGAUUAAAAAAGAUAAUGACAUUAUUUAAUUGAAUUAGUCCUGGCUAAUACUCGUGCCAGCAGCCGCGGUAAUACGGGAAGGGCAAGCGUUAUCCGGCAUGACUGGGCGUAAAGAGUCCGUAGACUGUAAAGUAA
rnacentral:rRNA from 1 species